rnacentral:rRNA from 1 species
UACCAGCACCCCGAGUGGUCGGGACGUUUUAUUGGGCCUAAAGCAUCCGUAGCCGGUUCUACAAGUCUUCCGUUAAAUCCACCUGCUUAACAGAUGGGCUGCGGAAGAUACUAUAGAGCUAGGAGGCGGGAGAGGCGAGCGGUACUCGAUGGGUAGGGGUAAAAUCCGUUGAUCCAUUGAAGACCACCAGUGGCGAAGGCGGCUUGCCAGAACGCGCUCGACGGUGAGGGAUGAAAGCUGGGGGAGCAAACCGG